UGAGUAACCUGCCCUUAACUCUGGGAUAAACCUGGGAAACUGGGUCUAAUACCGGAUAUGACUCCUCAUCGCAUGGUGGGGGGUGGAAAGCUUUAUUGUGGUUUUGGAUGGACUCGCGGCCUAUCAGCUUGUUGGUGAGGUAAUGGCUCACCAAGGCGACGACGGGUAGCCGGCCUGAGAGGGUGACCGGCCACACUGGGACUGAGACACGGCCCAGACUCCUACGGGAGGCAG
rnacentral:rRNA from 1 species